rnacentral:rRNA from 1 species
AUGAGCGAUGAGCUACCGGAGUUGCUAUACUUCAUUGCAAGUAGUCAAAAGGAAGAUGCUGAAAAAAUUGAUCUCAAUAAGCAUGCUUUUCAAGCUAGCCGAAUGAAGGAAGAAACCAGCAAGGCCGCUCCUCAUUUAACUGGAAUUAACCAAUUCAAGUGCAAGAAGGAUUGGUCGAUGCUCUCGGCUGGCGUCAAGUUCGAUCCCAUGGAUCAGGAGCUGAUCGAGCACCUUGAGGCCAAAAGCAACUCCAGGACGUUCAAAAGGGGCACGCGGAUGCGUCACAAGAUACAGUCGGGUUACGGCAUGCAUGCAAUGUGGCACAAGACCGGGAAUACCUUGCUGGUGAUGGUCAACGGCCGGCAGACGGGCAGCAAAAAGUUCUCCAACAAAAUUACAUCUUCGAGUACGCACGGGAUCCUUCUGGUUUCACAGGCUGAUAGUUGGACGCAUCACGUCGGGACUGGGCUAUGGCACGCCAAGCCCAGUUGCAAAUUGUUAAAAGAGAGGAGCGAUGGAUUUGGGCCUUUCCAGAACAGUUAA